GAUGAACGCUGGCGGCGUGCCUAAUACAUGCCAGUCGAGCGAACAGAUGAGGAGCUUGCUCCUCUGACGUUAGCGGCGGACGGGUGAGUAACACGUGGAUAACCUACCUAUAAGACUGGGAUAACUUCGGGAAACCGGAGCUAAUACCGGAUAAUAUAUUGAACCGCAUGGUUCAAUAGUGAAAGACGGUUUUGCUGUCACUUAUAGAUGGAUCCGCGCCGCAUUAGCUAGUUGGUAAGGUAACGGCUUACCAAGGCAACGAUGCGUAGCCGACCUGAGAGGGUGAUCGGCCACACUGGAACUGAGACACGGUCCAGACUCCUACGGGAGGCAGCAGUAGGGAAUCUUCCGCAAUGGCCGAAAGCCUGACGGAGCAACGCCGCGUGAGUGAUGAAGGUCUUCGGAUCGUAAAACUCUGUUAUUAGGGAAGAACAAAUGUGUAAGUAACUAUGCACGUCUUGACGGUACCUAAUCAGAAAGCCACGGCUAACUACGUG
rnacentral:rRNA from 1 species